CUGAGUACUACACUCUCUACCCUUUGUGAACUAUUAUACCUGUUGCUUCGGCGGCGCCCGCGAGGGUGCCCGCCGGUCUCAUCAGAAUCUCUGUUUUCGAACCCGACGAUACUUCUGAGUGUUCUUAGCGAACUGUCG
rnacentral:misc_RNA from 1 species